UGGGGAAUAUUGCACAAUGGAGGGAACUCUGAUGCAGCGACGCCGCGUGAACGAAGAAGGCUUUCGAGUCGUAAAGUUCUUUUAUAUGGGAAGAUAAUGACGGUACCAUAAGAAAAAGCCCCGGCUAACUACGUGCCAGCAGCCGCGGUAAUACGUAGGGGGCUAGCGUUGUCCGGAAUCACUGGGCGUAAAGGGUUCGCAGGCGGAAAUGCAAAUCAGAUGUAAAAGGCAGUAGCUUAACUACUGUAAGCAUUUGAAACUGCAUAUCUUGAGAAGAGUAGAGGUAAGUGGAAUUUUUAGUGUAGCGGUGAAAUGCGUAGAUAUUAAAAAGAAUACCGGUGGCGAAGGCGACUUACUGGGCUCAUUCUGACGCUGAGGAACGAAAGCGUGGGUAGCAAACAGG
rnacentral:rRNA from 1 species